UUCAGUUAGUCUCGUUUGUUCCCAAACAAGUCGGUCACUUAGAAAAAAAAGGUCUGGAUUGAUGGAAGACGUGCCCAGCUGUUGCAUCUGCGCUUCAGGCGGAUUUGUAACUAGUGAACAAUCUAACCUAAAUAUGGAACGAAACUGGCUGACCGGAAGUCCGGAUGGAAGAAGAAUAGUUAAAACGUUCACUUACUGUAAUCGGAAGCAUCAGUAAACAUUUGGGUAAAUAUCUGUAUGAAGGGACCAUCCAAAAUAGACUGCAGUUCCUGAAUAAAUCGCUGGAAGAUUUCUGCAUGGGCUUUUUUUUCCAGACAUGAAUCCUACCGUUCCACCAACCAUAGUCAUGAAUAUAGUUAAUUACAGUGACGAUUCAGUCCAUCAUUUCCUCCAUCCUGUUGCAUGAAAAAACAUCCGAACCGUAACCGAUAUUUUUGGGAAUCAGCAGUUCCGGUUACUACGAAGAUCCUCGACAUGACUGGCCGGUUUCUAAUAUAGUGCCUUCCGAUGGCUAAAAGUUCGGUUUUAUUAAGUUGCGUUCUCUAAAAAAAUAUUCCUGCCU